CGGCGGCGGCCCGGCCCAGCCCUGCGCGCCGCCAUGUUGGCCUCCUCCUCCGCCUGCGCCUCCGCCUCCGCCUCCUCCGGCCCGCGGGGCCGCGCCUCCGCUCCCGGAAGCGGCCCGGGCCGCCCCAGCAGCCGGAGUGAAUUUUCCCUGGCGCCCUGUGACUAAUGGGCAGAACUAUCCCCUGGGCGUGCAGAUUCCUUCCCUUCCUUCCACUUUGGAAGGCCUUUCCCUUGUAGCAGUAAACUGAAGACUCUAUGGGAGCAGGACCUCCGUCUGCUCCUUUGCUACAUUCCCAGGACGUCAUGGACAGUGGACACUCAGUACACGUCCCUCCUCUGAAUGACUGGAGAACGGCUGCCUGGCAGGAAUUCCACUCCUCCAGUGGGCAUGAAUGCAUCCAACCAUGUUUAAGUAUCUCCCGGUGUGGCGGCUGUCACCCCACCCUCGCUUUUCUCCCUUGGAACUUUGUGCAAUUUCCCAGUGCUCCUGACUCAUGUCAGGGAGGCCUCCACCUUCCAUACAUUUGGAAGGGCCCAGGGACUUCUAACCACUGGGUGACUGGCUGAUUGAGCCCCGGAAGCCCCGUAGUCUCCCAUGUUUCCUUCUCGGUUCUCAUUGGGAGAAUUCCAGGCCCCUGGGAAACAGAGGCCUCUGGUGUGCCUAGGAGAGGACCAGCCACCCCAUAGCAAGCAGUUCUUCCUCCUCAGUAGCUACCACCACCCAGCCCCAAGGGAGUUAAACCUGUUCUUUAUCUCCUUGAAACCCAGGCCAACUUUGAUAAAAGGAAAAAUCUUUC